rnacentral:siRNA from 1 species
CAUGCUUAGUUCGUAAUUCUACAA